AUGAACGCUGGCGGCGUGCUUAACACAUGCAAGUCGAACGAAGCAUUUAGGACAGAUUACUUCGGUUUGAAGUUCUUUAUGACUGAGUGGCGGACGGGUGAGUAACGCGUGGGUAACCUGCCUUGUACUGGGGGAUAGCAGCUGGAAACGGCUGGUAAUACCGCAUAAGCGCACAAUGUUGCAUGACAUGGUGUGAAAAACUCCGGUGGUAUAAGAUGGACCCGCGUCUGAUUAGCUAGUUGGUGAGAUAACAGCCCACCAAGGCGACGAUCAGUAGCCGACCUGAGAGGGUGACCGGCCACAUUGGGACUGAGACACGGCCCAGACUCCUACGGGAGGCAGCAGUGGGGAAUAUUGCACAAUGGAGGAAACUCUGAUGCAGCGACGCCGCGUGAGUGAAGAAGUAAUUCGUUAUGUAAAGCUCUAUCAGCAGGGAAGAUAGUGACGGUACCUGACUAAGAAGCUCCGGCUAAAUACGUG
rnacentral:rRNA from 1 species